UAUGGUAUUGAUAACAUAUUUUUCUUUAGGUUUUUCUAUUGUUACUUUGUUGAUUAUUUUAAUUCAGCCGUUGAGAUUAGGAUUUACGAUUAUGUUAGUAUUUUCAUAAGGGUUAUGAUUUCAUUUUUUAUUUAUUCUUGAUAUGGUUAUAUAUUAUUUUUGGUGUAUGUAGGUGGUUUAUUAGUAAUAUUUGUAGUGAGGGCGCGUGGCUUAGUGGUUAGGGCAUUCGGCUCAUGAUCGUAAGGUUGUGAGUUCGAUUCCCGGCGACGCGUUGUGUCCUUGAGCAAGACACUUUAUUUCACGUUGCUCCAGUCCACUCAGCUGGCAAAAAUGAGUUGUACUUGUAUUUCAAAGGGUCAGCCUUGUCACUCUCUGUGUCACGCUGAUUAUCCCCGAGAACUACGUUAAGGGUAUACGUGUCUGUGGAAUGCUCAGCCAUUUGCACGUUAAUUUCACGAGCAAGCUGUUCCGUUGAUCGUAUCAGCUGGGACCCUCGUCGUCGUAACCAGCGGAGUCUUUUCCAUCCAUCCAUUAGUAAUAUUUAUAUAUAUUAUUAGGUUUAUUCCCAAUUUAACUUUUUUUUCUAAGGGAUUAAUUAUAUAUAUAUUAGUUGGGUUUUUGGUUAUUUUUUUUGAUAAAUAUAAUUUCUAUAUAUUAUUAUUUAGACGUAAGUAUGAUAGAUAUGAAGAUAAUGGAGAUUAAAUUUGUUAAUAAGAAGAUUUAAUUUUUUUUGUAAUGUGUUUUUAGGCGUGUUAUUGUUAUUGGUUUUGGUAAGGGUUGUAAAAAUUUGUUAUUAUUGUGAGGGUCCAUUACAGGUAUUU
rnacentral:lncRNA from 1 species